UACGUAGGGUGCAAGCGUUAAUCGGAAUUACUGGGCGUAAAGCGUGCGCAGGCGGUUUUGUAAGUCUGACGUGAAAUCCCCGGGCUCAACCUGGGAAUUGCGUUGGAGACCGCAAGGCUAGAAUCUGGCAGAGGGGGGUAGAAUUCCACGUGUAGCAGUGAAAUGCGUAGAGAUGUGGAGGAACACCGAUGGCGAAGGCAGCCCCCUGGGUCAAGAUUGACGCUCAUGCACGAAAGCGUGGGGAGCAAACAGG
rnacentral:rRNA from 1 species